rnacentral:rRNA from 1 species
UACGUAGGGUGCGAGCGUUAAUCGGAAUUACUGGGCGUAAAGCGUGCGCAGGCGGUUGGUUAAGUCUGAUGUGAAAGCCCCGGGCUCAACCUGGGAAUGGCAUUGGAAACUGGCUAGCUGGAGUGUGGCAGAGGGGGGUGGAAUUCCGCGUGUAGCAGUGAAAUGCGUAGAGAUGCGGAGGAACACCGAUGGCGAAGGCAGCCCCCUGGGCCAACACUGACGCUGAGGCGCGAAAGCUAGGGGAGCAAACAGG